rnacentral:rRNA from 1 species
UGNNGGCGUGGUUAAGACAUGCAAGUUGAACGGUAACCAAAGGGUAGUAAUAUUCUUUGGUUGCAGUGGCGUAAGGGUGCGUAACACGUGGGUAAUCUGCCGCGAAGAGUAGGAUAACUCGCUGAAAGGCGAGCUAAUACUGCAUGUGAUUGAGAGAGGGAAUCCUUUUUCAAUCAAACGUGGGUCGUAAGACCUGCGGCUUUGUGAUGAGCCCGCGGCCUAUCAGCUAGUUGGUGAGGUAAUGGCUCACCAAGGCUAAGACGGGUAGCUGGUCUGAGAGGACGACCAGCCACACUGGAACUGAGACACGGUCCAGACACCUACGGGUGGCAGCAGUCGAGAAUUUUUCACAAUGGGGGAAACCCUGAUGGAGCGACGCCGCGUGGGGGAUGAAGGGCUUCGGUCCGUAAACCCCUGUCAUUGGCGAACAAGUGUUGCGUCCUAAUACGACGUAACUUGAUAGUAGCCGAAGAGGAAGGGACGGCUAACUCUGUGCCAGCAGCCGCGGUAAUACAGAGGUCCCGAGCGUUGUUCGGAUUUACUGGGCGUAAAGGGUGCGUAGGUGGUUGGGUAAGUUUGAGGUGAAAGCUCCGAGCCUAACUCGGAAAAUGCCUUGAAGACUAUCUGACUAGAGGAUUGGAGGGGAGACUGNAAUUCUCGGUGUAGCAGUGAAAUGCGUAGAUAUUCGAGAGGAACACCAGUNGGCGAAGGCGAGUCUCUGGACNAUUCCUGACACUGANG